rnacentral:rRNA from 1 species
GUAGGUGGCAAGCGUUGUCCGGAAUUAUUGGGCGUAAAGCGCGCGCAGGCGGUUCGUUAAGUCUGAUGUGAAAGCCCACGGCUCAACCGUGGAGGGUCAUUGGAAACUGGAGAACUUGAGUACAGAAGAGGAAAGCGGAAUUCCACGUGUAGCGGUGAAAUGCGUAGAGAUGUGGAGGAACACCAGUGGCGAAGGCGGCUUUCUGGUCUGUAACUGACGCUGAGGCGCGAAAGCGUGGGGAGCAAACAGGAUUAGAUACCCUGGUAGUCCACGCCGUAAACGAUGAGUGCUAAGUGUUAGGGGGGUUUCCGCCCCCCUUAGUGCUGCAGCUAACGCAUUAAGCACUCCGCCUGGGAGUACGGCCGCAAGGCUG